rfam:Oryza meridionalis cultivar OR44 (W2112) chromosome 6, whole genome shotgun sequence.
UUUAAAUGCAACCAUAAGUUUCCACGUCCAACUUUAAUCGUCCGUCUUAUGUGAAUUUUUUUUAAUUAGCAUUUUUGUUGUUAUGAGAUAAUAAAACAUAAAUAGUACUUUAUACGUGACUUAUGUUUUUACAUAUUUUCAAAAAAAUUUCAAAUAAGACGGACGAUCAAAGUUGGACACGAAAACCUAUGGCUGCACUUAAA